UGGCAAAAAGACAAGACCAGAUCCAGGGAGACGACAGGAAGCUCAAGAUGAAUGAGAAGUGCCACAUUCAGCUGUAGCAACGAGAUCUGAUGAUGAAGAUGAUGGAGGCGGUAACAGUACCAACUUGGACACUGAAAACACAGGCACCUACAAAAGGCCACCGAAGAUGCAGUCAAUUAAAGAAAGAAAUUAUGCUGAUGACGACAUGAGUGAUGUUUCUGGCAGUGAAUAUGGCGAU